rnacentral:rRNA from 1 species
GUCAGCCGCCGCGGGAACACCGGCAGCUCUAGUAGUAGCUGUUUUAUUGGGCCUAAAGCGUUCGUAGCCGGUUUGAUAAGUCACUGGUGAAAUCCUGUAGCUUAACUGUGGGAAUUGCUGGUGAUACUGUUGAACUUGAGGUCGGGAGAGGUUAGCGGUACUCCCAGGGUAGAGGUGAAAUUCUGUAAUCCUGGGAGGACCACCUGUGGCGAAGGCGGCUAACUGGAACGAACCUGACGGUGAGGGACGAAAGCUAGGGGCGCGAACCGGAUUAGAUACCCGGGUAGUCCUAGCCGUAAACGAUGCGGACUUGGUGUUGGGAUGGCUUUGAGCCGCUCCGGUGCCGAAGGGAAGCUGUUAAGUCCGCCGCCUGGGAAGUACGGUCGCAAGACUGAACUUAAAGGAAUUGGCGGGGGAGCACCACAACGCGUGGAGCCUGCGGUUUAAUUGGAUUCAACGCCGGACAUCUCACCAGGAGCGACAGCUGUAUGAUUACCAGGCUGAUGACCUUGUUUGACUAGCUGAGUGGUGGUGCAUGG